AGGGUUUCUCAGAAGUAGCCACAAGGAGGCAGAAGUUAACUAAAAAAAUCCUGCAUCAGGCAGCAUCCACCCCUGUGACCUUUCCUUACAGGAGUUGCUGGGAGAUUGUAGUGACAAUUUUGGGAUUGGUUUUCUUUUAAAAACACAGAAAUGCUGUAAGAAUGUGGUUUUGUUUUAAUCCCAGGUGUGGGAUGUGGGGCUGCUUUAGAUCGUCCUCAGCAGCUGACUGUGAUUUGCCUCAUGCUCUAGAAGGGGUGUGAUUUUGUCAGAUGCAUAGUUUUCAAGAUUGCAUGACAUUUGGAAUUCUGGGGACUUUUCAGACUGUAUAUAAAUGCUAGAGCCCAAGAGGCAAGGUGUGUUGUUGGUUUGUUGAUGUUAGUUGGGGUUUCUUAAGUAGUUGUGCACAAAGAAGAAACAAGAAGAAAUUAGGUAGCUCGGUGGUGGUGGCGGCGCACGCCUUUAAUCCCAGCACUUGGGAUACAGAGGCAGGCAGAUUUCUGAGUUCGAGGCCAGCCUGGUCUACAAAGUGAGUUCCAGGACAGCCAGGGCUACACAGAGAAACCCUGUCUCAAAAAAAAAAAAAAAAAAAAAAAAAAAAAAAAAAAAAAAAAAGAAGAAGAAGAAGGAGGAGGAGGAGGAGGAGGAGGAGGAAGAAAUAAUUAGGUAUCCUGAUGUGGAAAAUCAAAUUUGCCCCAAGGAACUCAAUGCCCCUAAUCACCAGGAAGUAGUCUAAUUAUGAUGUCACUCUUUCUGACCCCUGGCUUUUUUCAGGGAUCUCUCUCCUUUCCUCUCUAUCUUUUUUUCCUCUCUUCUCCAGUGUUAAGGAGUUGAAAUGUUGAGAGAAAAAAAGGUGGAGAAAGAUGGAAAAAAGAAGCCACAAAGUAGCAGAAGAUCAGCUACAGGAGGUCAUGACUUUUCCUGGGUCCUCUCUCCACGUGCUGGCAUCUGGCCUCCAGAUCAUUGUGUGCAGAGCCUCAGCACCAAUGGCUCGCCUUCCUUGGGAGCAGGAUGGGGCUGAAGGUAAACAGCUGCUCAUGAAAGUUCAGAGAAGUAGAGAGCCUUCAGCCACUGACUCUAGUACCACAAAGAAAGGAGACAACUGGGAGAGAGAGGCCUGCCUCUUCCUCCAGAGCAGAGCAACGUGGGCCAAUCUCUAGACCAGGAAAGAAAAGCUAACCAACUUCUGUGCCAGAGGCCAGGUAGUAGCCACUUCGCUCACAAAACUCCCUCCCAGUCUUAAGUCACAUGUUGAUCUUUGCAAGAAAAGUGAGCAAUAAACUGAUAAUUUUAAAUUAAUAUGUCUUACCUACAGUAAAAAAAAAAAUUUUGUUUCUCUUUCUCUGUCUCUCUGUCUCUGUGCCUCUCUCUCUCUCUCUCUCUCUCUCUCACACACACACACACACACACACACACAGAGAGAGAGAGAGAGAGAGUUCUUGAAUGAUACCUAGACCAGCCUUAAAGUCACAAUCCUGCUUCAGCAUCUUGAACUGAGAUUCCAGGCACAAGUCACCAUGCCUGACUUAACAUAUCCUUAAACACAACAAAGAAGUUAAGAACACAGAAAAGUGCAUGUGUUAAAGUAUGAAAACUGGGCAGGAAAUUCGAGUUUUGUUUUGUUUUUUUUUUAAACAAAUGUGUUAAUUUGGAGGGAAAUGCAUGUGGUCGCACACUUCCUUCCAAGGAGGCUGGAGAUCAGUGAGCAGCGGGCUUGAGCGGCACAGUGAUGGAGGAAUCCCCCAGGGCUCUUGAAGGCUCGUCUGAGCUGUCAGGGGCUUCUCCCACGUGAAGGAGC
rnacentral:lncRNA from 1 species